rnacentral:rRNA from 1 species
CUGAAGUUAAGCGUGCUUGGGAUCGAGUAGUACUAGGAUGGGUUACCUCCUGGGAAUUGCUCGUGUUGCACCCCUGGG